CUCUCGUUUCAUAUACUACUUCGAUUUUUGUGUGUUGUUCUGCAAGCUGCUUGGGUGCACUGAUUUGUUGGUUGUUUUAAUUUGUGUGGUUUUUGCUCGAAUUUCAUUUUCCAUACGGAGGGUUCUUGCAAUUAAUUUACUAUGCGAUUGAUUUGAUUUAGUUUUUGGAUGAUUGAUUGCGGAAUCUGAUGCUGUUGCUUGUUGCUAUUGCUAUUGCUAUUGUGAGAAUCAGAGUGAUUUGGGUUUUGCCAUGAUGGAAGCUCUUUGUAAUUUCAGUUAUGUUUUUAACUUUGUAAUUGCUGUUUUGUAAUUUCUGGUUGUUGGUUGCUGGUUGCUGUUUUAUAACUUUUGUAAUGCUGCUGAUUUGAGUUUGGAAUUUGUGAUUACUAAUUUACUGAUUUGAGGUUAGUGGAAAGUUGAGUCUGUGUUACUCUGUUGAGGAUUUGAAGUUGAAUUUGUGAUUUGUGAUUUCUUGGGUCUUUUGUAAUGCUGCUGAUUUGAAUUUGGAAUUUGUGAUUACUGAUUUACUGAUUUGAGGUUAGUGGAAACUUGAGUCUGUGUUACUCUGUUUUCAGGGAUUUGAGGUUGCAUUUUUGAGGUUAGUGGAAAUGGAAGCUCUGACAUUUUUGUCAAGCUUAAUAUGCAACCCUCUGCCUCUAGUUUAACAAUGUAUGGUUUAGCAUAAUAAUAAAUUCUGUGUGUAUAUAUAUAUGGAAGUGGGAGACAUUAAUGGGCAAGUGGGGCUGCACCAAAUUGCGGCUUUCAGUUAAGGGGGCUAUGCCAUUGGAUGAAGGGUUGGCAAUUGGAUUCAAUACAUCUAAUUUGAUCAAGUGGAAGGAAGCAAAACUGCAAAACAGAACAAGGGGUUGCAAAAUACAAAAAUAAAUUGAUGGUAGCUGGAAAAGACGAAAACUACUUCUACUCUCAAGCGCAUUUUAGUGAAUUGUACAUCUCAGGCAAAAGCAUAUGGGAGCUGUGUUGCAUCCAAGGUUCCAGAGAUUGAACGUGAUGUCUGUGCAAAGGAG